UAGAACAUUCAAAUAAUGACAUAGUUACGAACUGUCAAUCAACAACUUGUCAUGGCUUAAAUUUUGUGUGAAAAUUUGGGAUUUAUAGAAACCCGGUAAAAUUAUGUGUGCUUUCAUUUUAUCCCUCAGUUCGGAUAGCAGCAUAACAGAGGCUUGAUCGGUCGCCUCCUAUUUCCUUUUGGAUGCACACAUUGUCACCUGAUUCUUGGGAAAUUCUGUUUUAAGAACAGCGUGGGGCGUCUGGUAUCAAAAGUGCACCUCACAAAGGCAUUUCCCGCAUCCGCUCGCCAACACAUUGCUCUGAGUCUUUCGAAGGAGCCCAGCAUCGCAGCGCCGCUGUCGCCAACCACCGUCGACGUGAACAAGCAAGGUGGCUGCCGUAGCCAGGACUUGAAAAAUGAUUUGCCUCUCUUUGUACGCCCUGAUCGCUUCUGCCACGAUCCUAGCGUGCGUUCCAGUCUGCUACAGACAGUUUGAGAUGCACAAGUUUGUCAAGUGCCUUCGGAAAUAGGAAUAAUGAUAAUUUGCAUGAGUUGCAUGACGGCGAUCAUCGCGGUUGGUUGUAUAGCCUGUGGCCCUGUAGUAUUGGACGCGUUGUGGCCUAAGUGUCCGAGCAGAAACAAGAAGGACGUACCGAUGCCAUGCAAGAGCCCCUGCUGCCCGAAGCGAUCUCACGCAAGCUGAGAAAUUAAUUUGUAUUGUAAGAUGUAUUAAAUAUUUAUAUCCGCUAUGAUUUUAUGUUUGUAAUUUCAACUUUGUUCUUGGAUCGAUUGUAACAUCUUAUUGAACACAUGUAUUGGCAGAAGAUAUAGCUGUAAAUAGAUUCCAUACUCAUAAAAUAUCCAUUACUUAUAAUGACUGAUUUGUUUAUUUGAGAGUGUAAAAAAUAAGCACUAUAUAUUUAGAAUUUUACUUUUAUGAACUUUGUGUACAAAAAUAGAUAAAUAAAAACGUCGUGCAUUUACCUAAUAAAACUGGUGGGCUAAA